ACAAUUGGACUUUAUGUAACUUGAUUUUUUCCUCGUUGCUCCUGCUGCUUCUCUGCACUUGAUCUUGUGAAAUGGUUUCCUUUAACCCAGCGCUGUGCUCAGACUCUGGCUGGUGUCUAGGAUCCUAUUCAUUUUACUUCCUUCACUUUUAGUUUUAGCUCAUGAUUUUAGAUGGUAAAGUGACAGAUUAUGCUUAUCCCCCUAGAAGAAGGUGGACUUAUGUUGUAAGAACAGAAAGGUCUUUGGCAACAGAGGGUUGGUUGGGGGGGUGGGGGUGGUGUCUGGGAUGUUGGGGAGUUAACAUCUAAUUUUAAAUACAGUGAAUGAAAUAGGAAAUGUCAUUUAUCACUAGCUUGGAUUUGGUUAUUGACAGAAGUCAUCAACCAAACGAUAGAAUUAAGAGGUUUGUGGCUCACUAUACUUUGGAUUUUGUUGGGGCUUUUUCUUUAUUUAAUGUUGCUAUGUUUUGAAGAGUAGUUUUAACUCGUUAAUUUUCCAUCCCUAAAAGUUUGCACUUUUCAUUGGACAGAUACACAAGGAUUCUUAUAAAUUGCUUAAAUGAGGCUAUUAAAAAAUUACUUUGAUAUUUCACAAAGCUGAGAGUCAGAUCUGAUGCGUACUGAACCUGGGGUGGGAGAGUUUGCUGGGGAAACUUCAGAGUGAAGUUAUAUGAAGAGAAUGCUAGCAAGGGAUUUGGUCUCAUUUACCUAUAAUUUCCUACAGGUGGUAUUGGAGGAGGGCGGGAGAGAGUCCUUCUGGCAGCCAAGGAAGAGAGGAGCCUGGGAGGGGAGUAGGACCAGCCACUUCCCUGUGUCUGCUCGAAGCGGAACCCCAUAAGCAGCAGUGCUCUUCAGGACUUGGGGAUGGGGGGUGAAUAGUUAGACGUGGAGCUACUUUUUUAGGGGGGGGUGGAAGGAGGGAGUGAAAGGAGGAGAUAGAUGAAGAAUAUCGUUUAUAAAAGCAGAACAGAUUGGAAAGAGGUAUUUAAUGUGGAACAGUGAAAGAAAUGAUUUAACCUAAUGUGAUGGGCCAGAUUAUAACCUCUCAACUCAAGUUUUAUCUAUCCCUGUGCUCUGCUAAAAGUUGCAAACCAUGAAGAAUUUGAUAUGAUAUUGCUCGACAAUUAUUUUAUCUUUCUGUUUA